rnacentral:rRNA from 1 species
GUGGCGAGUGGCGACGGGUGAGUAAUACAUCGGAACGUGUCCUAGAGUGGGGGAUAGCCCGGCGAAAGCCGGAUUAAUACCGCAUACGCUCUAUGGAGGAAAGCGGGGGAUCUUCGGACCUCGCGCUCAAGGGGCGGCCGAUGGCGGAUUAGCUAGUUGGUAGGGUAAAGGCCUACCAAGGCGACGAUCCGUAGCUGGUCUGAGAGGACGACCAGCCACACUGGGACUGAGACACGGCCCAGACUCCUACGGGAGGCAGCAGUGGGGAAUUUUGGACAAUGGGGGCAACCCUGAUCCAGCAAUGCCGCGUGUGUGAAGAAGGCCUUCGGGUUGUAAAGCACUUUUGUCCGGAAAGAAAUCCUCUGCCCUAAUACGGCGGGGGGAUGACGGUACCGGAAGAAUAAGCACCGGCUAACUACGUGCCAGCAGCCGCGGUAAUACGUAGGGUGCGAGCGUUAAUCGGAAUUACUGGGCGUAAAGCGUGCGCAGGCGGUUCGCUAAGACCGAUGUGAAAUCCCCGGGCUUAACCUGGGAACUGCAUUGGUGACUGGCGAGCUAGAGUGUGGCAGAGGGGGGUAGAAUUCCACGUGUAGCAGUGAAAUGCGUAGAGAUGUGGAGGAAUACCGAUGGCGAAGCAGCCCCCUGGGCUAACACUGACGCUCAUGCACGAAAGCGUGGGGGAGCAAACAGGAUUAGAUACCCUGGUAGUCCACGCCCUAAACGAUGUCAACUAGUUGUUGGGGAUUCAUUUCCUUUAGUACGUAGCUACGCGUGAGUUGACCGCCUGGGGAGUACGGUCGCAGAUUAAACUCAAGUACUGACGGGCA